rnacentral:rRNA from 1 species
AACGAACGCUGGCGGCAUGCCUAACACAUGCAAGUCGAACGAGACCUUCGGGUCUAGUGGCGCACGGGUGCGUAACGCGUGGGAACCUACCCUUAGGUUCGGAAUAACUCCCCGAAAGGGGUGCUAAUACCGGAUAAUGUCUUCGGACCAAAGAUUUAUCGCCUUUGGAUGGGCCCGCGUUGGAUUAGCUAGUUGGUAGGGUAAAAGCCCACCAAGGCGACGAUCCAUAGCUGGUCUGAGAGGAUGAUCAGCCACACUGGGACUGAGACACGGCCCAGACUCCUACGGGAGGCAGCAGUGGGGAAUAUUGGACAAUGGGCGAAAGCCUGAUCCAGCAAUGCCGCGUGAGUGAUGAAGGCCUUAGGGUUGUAAAGCUCUUUUACCCGGGAUGAUAAUGACAGUACCGGGAGAAUAAGCUCCGGCUAACUCCGUG